rnacentral:rRNA from 1 species
UACGGAGGGUGCAAGCGUUAUCCGGAUUCACUGGGUUUAAAGGGUGCGUAGGCGGAUUAGAAAGUCCGUUGUGAAAUCUCUGAGCUUAACUCGGAAAUUGCGGUGGAUACUAUUAAUCUUGAAUACUGUGGAGGUUAGCGGAAUAUGUCAUGUAGCGGUGAAAUGCAUAGAUAUGACAUAGAACACCAAUUGCGAAGGCAGCUGGCUACACAGAUAUUACGCUGAGGCACGAAAGCGUGGGGGAUCAAACAGGA